UACGUAGGUGGCAAGCGUUGUCCGGAUUUAUUGGGCGUAAAGCGAGCGCAGGCGGAAAAAUAAGUCUAAUGUGAAAGCCCUCGGCUUAACCGAGGAAUUGCAUCGGAAACUGUUUUUCUUGAGUGCAGAAGAGGAGAGUGGAACUCCAUGUGUGGCGGUGGAAUGCGUAGAUAUAUGGAAGAACACCAGUGGCGAAGGCGGCUCUCUGGUCUGCAACUGACGCUGAGGCUCGAAAGCAUGGGUAGCGAACAGGAUUAGAUACCCUGGUAGUCCAUGCCGUAAACGAUGAGUGCUAAGUGUUGGGAGGUUUCCGCCUCUCAGUGCUGCAGCUAACGCAUUAAGCAUUCCGCCUGGGGAGUACGGUCGCAAGAUUAAAACUCAAAGGAAUUGACGGGGGCCCGCACAAGCAGCGGAGCAUGUGGUUUAAUUCGAAGCAACGCGAAGAACCUUACCUAGACUUGACAUCUCCUGCAUUACUCUUAAUCGAGGAAGUCCCUUCGGGGACAGGAUGACAGGUGGUGCAUGGUUGUCGUCAGCUCGUGUCGUGAGAUGUUGGGUUAAGUCCCGCAACGAGCGCAACCCUUAUUGUUAGUUGCCAUCAUUAAGUUGGGCACUCUAGCGAGACUGCCCGGGUUAACCGGGAGGAAGGUGGGGAUGACGUCAAAUCAUCAUGCCCCUUAUGUCUAGGGCUACACACGUGCUACAAUGGUCGGUACAAUAAGACGCAAGCCCGCGAGGGGGAGCAAAACUGGAAAACCGAUCUCAGUUCGGGUUGUAGGCUGAAACUCGCCUACAUGAAGCUGGAGUUGCUAGUAAUCGCGAAUCAGCAUGUCGCGGUGAUACGUUCCCGGGCCUUGCACACACCGCC
rnacentral:rRNA from 1 species